UACGUAGGGUGCGAGCGUUAAUCGGAAUUACUGGGCGUAAAGUGUGCGCAGGCGGCAGAGCAAGUCGAGUGUGAAAGCCCCGGGCUUAACUUGGGAAUUGCGCUCGAAACUACUUUGCUGGAGUGUGGCAGAGGAAGGUGGAAUUCCACGUGUAGCGGUGAAAUGCGUAGAGAUGUGGAGGAACACCAAUGGCGAAGGCAGCCUCCUGGGCCAGCACUGACGCUCAUGCACGAAAGCGUGGGGAGCAAACAGG
rnacentral:rRNA from 1 species